GACCUCGGAUCAGGUAGGAAUACCCGCUGAACUUAAGCAUAUCAAUAAGCGGAGGAAAAGAAACCAACAGGGAUUGCCCUAGUAACGGCGAGUGAAGCGGCAACAGCUCAAAUUUGAAAUCUGGCUCUCGGGCCCGAGUUGUAAUUUGUAGAGGAUGCUUUUGAUGCGGUGCCUUCCGAGUUCCCUGGAACGGGACGCCAUAGAGGGUGAGAGCCCCGUCUGGUUGGAUGCCAAAUCUCUGUAAAGCUCCUUCGACGAGUCGAGUAGUUUGGGAAUGCUGCUCUAAAUGGGAGGUAUAUGUCUUCUAAAGCUAAAUACCGGCCAAAGACCGAUAGCGCACAAGUAGAGUGAUCGAAAAGAUGAAAAGCACUUUGAAA
rnacentral:rRNA from 1 species